rnacentral:rRNA from 1 species
CCUACGGGAGGCAGCAGUGAGGAAUAUUGGUCAAUGGACGCAAGUCUGAACCAGCCAUGCCGCGUGCAGGAAGACGGCUCUAUGAGUUGUAAACUGCUUUUGUACGAGGGUAAACUCAGAUACGCGUACCUUUCUGAAUGUAUCCUACGAAUAAGGAUCGACUAACUCCGUGCCAGCAGCCGCGGUAAUACGGAGGAUCCAAGCGUUAUCCGGAUUUAUUGGGUUUAAAGGGUGCGUAGGCGGUCGGUUAAGUUAGGGGUGAAAUCCCGGGGCUCAACUUCGGAAUUGCCUCUGAUACUGUUAGGCUAGAGGGUAGUUGCGGUAGGCGGAAUGUGUGGUGUAGCGGUGAAAUGCUUAGAGAUCAUGCAGAACACCGAUUGCGAAGGCAGCUUACCAAGCUACAUCUGACGUUGAGGCACGAAAGCGUGGGGAGCAAACAGGAUUAGAUACCCUGGUAGUC